UAGACACUCCAUCCCAGGGACCCUUCUUCCAUCUUCUCCUUCUUUGUGAGCUGAUUUUCCAGCACUGGGUGAGAGUAAGAGAAGAAAGAAAUGAUAUGACUUUCAAUCGCUUGCAUGUCUCUCAAGGUCAAGAAGAGCUUUUACAAAGCGUUCUUCCCCUGGCUUCCAUGCUUUCCCAGCCUCCUCACUUUCCAGCUUCAGUGCCCUACCCAAGCCCGACUCUAACCAGCAUGCUUCCACGGAAGACUCUGCUGAAGCUUAAAACGCUCUUGGUGACAGGAGGCUCCACCAUGUCGGGCGUUAUCCUGAGGCCUCCCUACACCCGACUGCGUCUUACCUCCACGACAACACUGCAAAAUUUUCCCAUCUUCUAAGAAAAUGAUCUGGUCACAAAAUGCUAAAUACUGAAGAGUCAGAAGAAAUAAGGCCUUCAGUAAGCAUACAAAAAGAUAUUCAACUUCACCAUUCGAAAGGAAAAUGUAAAUUUAAAUCAUAAUAAAAUGUUAUUUUGUAUACCCACAUUGGCAAAAAUCUUAAAACACUGCGUAAGUCCAAGCACUGG